rnacentral:rRNA from 1 species
UACGUAGGGGCUAGCGUUAUCCGGAAUUACUGGGCGUAAAGGGUGCGUAGGUGGUUUCUUAAGUCAGGGGUGAAAGGCUACGGCUCAACCGUAGUAAGCCUUUGAAACUGAGAAACUUGAGUGCAGGAGAGGAGAGUGGAAUUCCUAGUGUAGCGGUGAAAUGCGUAGAUAUUAGGAGGAACACCAGUUGCGAAGGCGGCUCUCUGGACUGUAACUGACACUGAGGCACGAAAGCGUGGGGAGCAAACAGGAUUAGAUACCCUGGUAGUCCCUGAG